CCAAAACUAAUAUUAGGAUCUAUAAAUUCCUCAUCACUUUGAGUCCCCUCUUAUGCCUCCAAUAGUCACAUCGUGAACUUGUAGUCGUCUCACCCCACUUUGAUAGUCCUCAUUUUAGUUUUGAAUUCAUAUCUGAAAUCCAAAGUACUAACCUUGAUAAAGGCAAAACGUAAUGCAAGAAACAUACAAAGCAGGUUCCAAGAGUGUUAUUCUAAGGCCUCCAUCAACAAGAACAAAGGAUGUUCAUGGAAAAAAAAUCCAUUAAUUAAGGUAAUUUCAAUUACUAAUAUAUACUUGUAUCUCAUUUGUCAUUGCACUUGAAGAAAUUUUAUUUUUUUCAUAUAUUUCUGGCACCUCUUAACUAAUUGUUCUAUGGUUCACCUUCUCAACACCUCAUCCCGCUUUAUGGUAUCAAAGUUGACAAGUUAGUAACAUUAAUGGUAAGGAGGCUAGCCAAAUUAACAUAAAUGGAAUUAGUUCUAGAGGAGUACAUUCACCAAGACUGGUGAAUUUCCACAUAAAAGCUCCCAAAACAACAACAAUACAAUAUUUAUCAUUUUAAUAAAUAAUAAAAACUAACAGGAUAAUCUUGAUAUGGGGUUACUGGUUUGUUACACUAACUAAAAAUUAAUAAAAAAAAAAAAAAAAAAAAAAGUUCGUUUUAAAUCUUUGGCAAAAAUAAAAAAUAUGAAGAUAAUCCUGAGAGAUAAAGUGGACAACCAGUUAUCACUUUUAUUUUACAAGAAGCUAAUUAAAAAGACAUAAUCUUUAUCAUUAAGUAUCACCGGUCCAACGACAAGUAGACCUACUGGGUCCUUAGUUGAAACAAACAAAAAAAAUAUAAGAGAGAAACAAAAAGAGUUACAAUGGGACAUCUCAAAAUUUGUGUCGGACCUCUCCUCUUUUCUGAUGUCAUAAGCAUAUAUGCAUUUUUUGACUAAUUAUUCAUUUGGAUCCCUCAUAUUUUUCAUGGAC
rnacentral:lncRNA from 1 species